ACCCGCUGAACUUAAGCAUAUCAAUAAGCGGAGGAAAAGAAACCAACAGGGAUUGCCCUAGUAACGGCGAGUGAAGCGGCAACAGCUCAAAUUUGAAAUCUGGCGUCUUCGGCGUCCGAGUUGUAAUUUGUAGAGGAUGCUUCUGGGUAGCCACUGGUCUAAGUUCCUUGGAACAGGACGUCAUAGAGGGUGAGAAUCCCGUAUGCGGCCGGCCGGCACCCUCCACGUAGCUCCUUCGACGAGUCGAGUUGUUUGGGAAUGCAGCUCUAAAUGGGAGGUAAAUUUCUUCUAAAGCUAAAUACUGGCCAGAGACCGAUAGCGCACAAGUAGAGUGAUCGAAAGAUGAAAAGCACUUUGGAAAGAGAGUUAAAAAGCACGUGAAAUUGUUAAAAGGGAAGCGCUUGCAACCAGACUUGCUUGCGGUGUUCGGCCGGUCUUCUGACCGGUUUACUCGCCGUACGCAGGCCAGCAUCAUUUGGGGCCGCCGGAUAAAACUCCAGGAAUGUAGCUCCCUCGGGAGUGUUAUAGCCUGGGGCAAUGCGGCGAGCCCCGAGUGAGGUCCGCGCUUCGGCUAGGAUGCUGGCGUAAUGGUUGUAAGCGGCCCGUCUUGAAACACGG
rnacentral:rRNA from 1 species